UAGGGAAUCUUCCGCAAUGGGCGAAAGCCUGACGGAGCAACGCCGCGUGAGUGAUGAAGGUCUUCGGAUCGUAAAACUCUGUUAUUAGGGAAGAACAACUGUGUAAGUAACUAUGCACGUCUUGACGGUACCUAAUCAGAAAGCCACGGCUAACUACGUGCCAGCAGCCGCGGUAAUACGUAGGUGGCAAGCGUUAUCCGGAAUUAUUGGGCGUAAAGCGCGCGUAGGCGGUUUUUUAAGUCUGAUGUGAAAGCCCACGGCUCAACCGUGGAGGGUCAUUGGAAACUGGAAAACUGGAGUGCAGAAGAGGAAAGUGGAAUUCCAUGUGUAGCGGUGAAAUGCGCAGAGAUAUGGAGGAACACCAGUGGCGAAGGCGACGUUCUGGUCUGUAACUGACGCUGAUGUGCGAAAGCGUGGGGAUCAAACAGG
rnacentral:rRNA from 1 species